GAAAAUGUUAUAUUUCCGCCGAUCUGUCAAAAAAAGGAUUUUAACUGUAGAAGAUACAUACCAUUUGAUGCCGUGUGUACAACAAAAACCUAAGAUGAAAGAUUGACAACAAAGUGUCAUGGUCUUGAUGGAAUAUGCUGUGCUCCUCAGACCUCUUAGACAUAUAUUUAAUAAUGACCACUGAGUAAUCCAAGGUUUCAGACAUCUAGAAUAUGCUCAUGGUCAGUCUUCAAGAUACUCACCCAAGCAUUCCACUGUGAAUAAGGAUACUGUGACAAAACAGUACUUACCAACAUCCACUGGAGAUACCAGACCAAGCAGACU